rnacentral:rRNA from 1 species
UACGUAGGGUGCGAGCGUUAAUCGGAAUUACUGGGCGUAAAGCGUGCGCAGGCGGUUUUGUAAGCCAGAUGUGAAAUCCCCGGGCUCAACCUGGGAAUGGCAUUUGGGACUGCAAGGCUGGAGUACGGCAGAGGAGACUGGAAUUCCUGGUGUAGCAGUGAAAUGCGUAGAGAUGUGGAGGAAUACCGAUGGCGAAGGCAGCCCCCUGGGUCGAUACUGACGCUCAUGCACGAAAGCGUGGGGAGCAAACAGG